UACGGAGGGGGCUAGCGUUGUUCGGAAUUACUGGGCGUAAAGCGCACGUAGGCGGCUUUGUAAGUUAGAGGUGAAAGCCCAGGGCUCAACCCUGGAAUUGCCUUUAAGACUGCAUCGCUAGAAUUGUGGAGAGGUAAGUGGAAUUCCGAGUGUAGAGGUGGAAUUCGUAGAUAUUCGGAAGAACACCAGUGGCGAAGGCGACUUACUGGACACAUAUUGACGCUGAGGUGCGAAAGCGUGGGGAGCAAACAGG
rnacentral:rRNA from 1 species